rnacentral:rRNA from 1 species
AUUGAACGCUGGCGGCAUGCCUUACACAUGCAAGUCGAACGGCAGCAUGAUCUAGCUUGCUAGAUUGAUGGCGAGUGGCGAACGGGUGAGUAAUACAUCGGAACGUGCCCUGUAGUGGGGGAUAACUAGUCGAAAGAUUAGCUAAUACCGCAUACGACCUGAGGGUGAAAGUGGGGGACCGCAAGGCCUCAUGCAAUAGGAGCGGCCGAUGUCUGAUUAGCUAGUUGGUGAGGUAAAGGCUCACCAAGGCGACGAUCAGUAGCUGGUCUGAGAGGACGAUCAGCCACACUGGGACUGAGACGCGGCCCAGACUCCUACGGGAGGCAGCAGUGGGGAAUUUUGGACAAUGGGGGCAACCCUGAUCCAGCAAUGCCGCGUGUGUGAAGAAGGCCUUCGGGUUGUAAAGCACUUUUGUCCGGAAAGAAAUGGCUCUGGUUAAUACCUGGGGUCGAUGACGGUACCGGAAGAAUAAGGACCGGCUAACUACGUGCCAGCAGCCGCGGUAAAAC